ACUCUAAGCGGUGGAUCACUCGGCUCAUGGGUCGAUGAAGAACGCAGCAAACUGUGCGUCAUCGUGUGAACUGCAGGACACAUGAACAUCGACAUUUUGAACGCAUAUCGCAGUCCAUGCUGUUAUGUACUUUAAUUAAUUUUAUAGUGCUGCUUGGACUACAUAUGGUUGAGGGUUGUAAGACUAUGCUAAUUAAGUUGCUUAUAAAUUUUUAUAAGCAUAUGGUAUAUUAUUGGAUAAAUAUAAUAAUUUUUAUUCAUAAUAUUAAAAAAUAAAUGAAAAACAUUAUCUCACAUUUGAAUGUGAAAAACGAAGAGAAAUAUUUUCUUUUUCAAUCAAAUAAUACUGAGAAAUGUCUAGCAUAAAAAAUUGAAAUAUUUUUCAUCUAGAAUUGUCUCUUAUUAAUGAUUCGGAAAUAGAAAAAUCUUGGUUAUGUUAUUAUUCUUCGUUGGUUCGUUAAAAAUGGAUAAAUAAAAACUUUGCAUACAAGAAUUAAUAAAAAUGUUAUAACGAAUUUAAUUAAAUGUUUUAUCAUUAUAUAUAAAGAAUUUAUGGCAAGAUAAAGUUAUAUACAACCUCAACUCAUAUGGGACUACCCCCUGAAUUUAAGCAUAUUAAUUAGGGGAGGAAAAGAAACUAACAAGGAUUUUCUUAGUAGCGGCGAGCGAAAAGAAAACAGUUCAGCACUAAGUCACUUUGUCUAUAUGGCAAAUGUGAGAUGCAGUGUAUGGAGCGUCAAUAUUCUAGUAUGAGAAAUUAACGAUUUAAGUCCUUCUUAAAUGAGGCCAUUUACCCAUAGAGGGUGCCAGGCCCGUAUAACGUUAAUGAUUACUAGAUGAUGUUUCCAAAGAGUCGUGUUGCUUGAUAGUGCAGCACUAAGUGGGUGGUAAACUCCAUCUAAAACUAAAUAUAACCAUGAGACCGAUAGUAAACAAGUACCGUGAGGGAAAGUUGAAAAGAACUCUGAAUAGAGAGUUAAACAGUACGUGAAACUGCUUAGAGGUUAAGCCCGAUGAACCUGAAUAUCCGUUAUGGAAAAUUCAUCAUUAAAAUUGUAAUAUUUAAAUAAUAUUAUGAGAAUAGUGUGCAUUUUUUCCAUAUAAGGACAUUGUAAUCUAUUAGCAUAUACCAAAUUUAUCAUAAAAUAUAACUUAUAGUUUAUUCCAAUUAAAUUGCUUGCAUUUUAACACAGAAUAAAUGUUAUUAAUUUGAUAAAGUGCUGAUAGAUUUAUAUGAUUACAGUGCGUUAAUUUUUCGGAAUUAUAUAAUGGCAUAAUUAUCAUUGAUUUUUGUGUUUAUUAUAUGCACUUGUAUGAUUAACAAUGCGAAAGAUUCAGGAUACCUUCGGGACCCGUCUUGAAACACGGACCAAGGAGUCUAACAUAUGUGCAAGUUAUUGGGAUAUAAACCUAAUAGCGUAAUUAACUUGACUAAUAAUGGGAUUAGUUUUUUAGCUAUUUAUAGCUAAUUAACACAAUCCCGGGGCGUUCUAUAUAGUUAUGUAUAAUGUAUAUUUAUAUUAUUUAUGCCUCUAACUGGAACGUACCUUGAGCAUAUAUGCUGUGACCCGAAAGAUGGUGAACUAUACUUGAUCAGGUUGAAGUCAGGGGAAACCCUGAUGGAAGACCGAAACAGUUCUGACGUGCAAAUCGAUUGUCAGAAUUGAGUAUAGGGGCGAAAGACCAAUCGAACCAUCUAGUAGCUGGUUCCUUCCGAAGUUUCCCUCAGGAUAGCUGGUGCAUUUUAAUAUUAUAUAAAAUAAUCUUAUCUGGUAAAGCGAAUGAUUAGAGGCCUUAGGGUCGAAACGAUCUUAACCUAUUCUCAAACUUUAAAUGGGUAAGAACCUUAACUUUCUUGAUAUGAAGUUCAAGGUUAUGAUAUAAUGUGCCCAGUGGGCCACUUUUGGUAAGCAGAACUGGCGCUGUGGGAUGAACCAAACGUAAUGUUACGGUGCCCAAAUUAACAACUCAUGCAGAUACCAUGAAAGGCGUUGGUUGCUUAAAACAGCAGGACGGUGAUCAUGGAAGUCGAAAUCCGCUAAGGAGUGUGUAACAACUCACCUGCCGAAGCAACUAGCCCUUAAAAUGGAUGGCGCUUAAGUUGUAUACCUAUACAUUACCGCUAAAGUAGAUGAUUUAUAUUACUUGUGAUAUAAAUUUUGAAACUUUAGUGAGUAGGAAGGUACAAUGGUAUGCGUAGAAGUGUUUGGCGUAAGCCUGCAUGGAGCUGCCAUUGGUACAGAUCUUGGUGGUAGUAGCAAAUAAUCGAAUGAGACCUUGGAGGACUGAAGUGGAGAAGGGUUUCGUGUGAACAGUGGUUGAUCACGAGUUAGUCGGUCCUAAGUUCAAGGCGAAAGCCGAAAAUUUUCAAGUAAAACAAAAAUGCCUAACUAUAUAAACAAAGCGAAUUAUAAUACACUUGAAUAAUUUUGAACGAAAGGGAAUACGGUUCCAAUUCCGUAACCUGUUGAGUAUCCGUUUGUUAUUAAAUAUGGGCCUCGUGCUCAUCCUGGCAACAGGAACGACCAUAAAGAAGCCGUCGAGAGAUAUCGGAAGAGUUUUCUUUUCUGUUUUAUAGCCGUACUACCAUGGAAGUCUUUCGCAGAGAGAUAUGGUAGAUGGGCUAGAAGAGCAUGACAUAUACUGUUGUGUCGAUAUUUUCUCCUCGGACCUUGAAAAUUUAUGGUGGGGACACGCAAACUUCUCAACAGGCCGUACCAAUAUCCGCAGCUGGUCUCCAAGGUGAAGAGUCUCUAGUCGAUAGAAUAAUGUAGGUAAGGGAAGUCGGCAAAUUAGAUCCGUAACUUCGGGAUAAGGAUUGGCUCUGAAGAUUGAGAUAGUCGGGCUUGAUUGGGAAACAAUAACAUGGUUUAUGUGCUCGUUCUGGGUAAAUAGAGUUUCUAGCAUUUAUGUUAGUUACUUGUUCCCCGGAUAGUUUAGUUACGUAGCCAAUUGUGGAACUUUCUUGCUAAAAUUUUUAAGAAUACUAUUUGGGUUAAACCAAUUAGUUCUUAUUAAUUAUAACGAUUAUCAAUUAACAAUCAAUUCAGAACUGGCACGGACUUGGGGAAUCCGACUGUCUAAUUAAAACAAAGCAUUGUGAUGGCCCUAGCGGGUGUUGACACAAUGUGAUUUCUGCCCAGUGCUCUGAAUGUCAAAGUGAAGAAAUUCAAGUAAGCGCGGGUCAACGGCGGAGUCUAUCAUAUCAUAUGAUGUGCGGAAGGGGAAUUUUACUCUGUAACUCACAAGUCUCUCCUUUACUCAAGUCGACUCAAAACCUCCUCGUGGUGGUCCCCGGUAAUGCUAAACUCGUUUAGCAGCUAAUUUGAGCGGCAAAACUUUUCCGAUGGGCUGGUUCCCCAGAGGAAAUUUAUUCAUAUUGGAACUACAAG
rnacentral:rRNA from 1 species